rnacentral:rRNA from 1 species
UACCAGCACCCCGAGUGGUCGGGACGUUUAUUGGGCCUAAAGCCUCCGUAGCCGGUUCUACAAGUCUUCCGUUAAAUCCACCUGCUUAACAGAUGGGCUGCGGAAGAUACUAUAGAGCUAGGAGGCGGGAGAGGCAAGCGGUACUCGAUGGGUAGGGGUAAAAUCCGUUGAUCCAUUGAAGACCACCAAUGGCGAAGGCGGCUUGCCAGAACGCGCUCGACGGUGAGGGAUGAAAGCUGGGGGAGCAAACCGG